CAGCCGCCGCGGUAAUACGGAGGGGGCUAGCGUUGUUCGGAAUUACUGGGCGUAAAGCGCACGUAGGCGGCUUGGUAAGUUAGAGGUGAAAGCCCGGAGCUCAACUCCGGAAUUGCCUUUAAGACUGCCGAGCUAGCAGGUGAGAGAGGUAAGUGGAAUUCCGAGUGUAGAGGUGAAAUUCGUAGAUAUUCGGAAGAACACCAGUGGCGAAGGCGGCUUACUGGCUCAUACUGGACGCUGAGGUGCGAAAGCGUGGGGAGCAAACAGGAUUAGAUACCCGGGUAGUCCCUGUCUCUUAUAA
rnacentral:rRNA from 1 species